rnacentral:rRNA from 1 species
GACGAACGCUGGCGGCGUGCCUAACACAUGCAAGUCGAGCGAUGAAACCCUUCGGGGUGGAUUAGCGGCGGACGGGUGAGUAACACGUGGGUAACCUGCCUCAAAGAGGGGGAUAGCCUCCCGAAAGGGAGAUUAAUACCGCAUAACAUUAGUUUUUCGCAUGAAGGACUAAUUAAAGGAGUAAUCCGCUUUGAGAUGGACCCGCGGCGCAUUAGCUAGUUGGUGAGGUAAAGGCUCACCAAGGCGACGAUGCGUAGCCGACCUGAGAGGGUGAUCGGCCACAUUGGAACUGAGACACGGUCCAGACUCCUACGGGAGGCAGCAGUGGGGAAUAUUGCACAAUGGGCGAAAGCCUGAUGCAGCAACGCUGCGUGAGUGACGAAGGCCUUCGGGUUGUAAAGCUCUUUUAGCAGGGAAGAUAAUGACGGUACCUGCAGAAUAAGCCCCGGCUAACUUCGUGCCAGCCGCCGCAGUAAUAC